CACCUUCUUCGUGAAUGCAUUCUUUUCCUCAGCAUCUACACCACUUGUAGCAGCAGUUGAUACAGCCAUGUCUUCUGCUUUAACAGUUUCAGUUACAUCAUCAGCCAAAUUUACAUGAUCUUCAGGAGUUGGUUUAUCUGAACAUGAUUCAUCUUCGAAAGAAGUAGCAUCUCCUCUUGUAAUAUCCACUUUCUUCGUGAAUGCAUUCUUUUCCUCGGCAUCUACACCACUUGUAGCAGCAGUUGAUACAGCCAUAUCUUCUGCUUUAACAGUUUCAGUUACAGCAUCAGCCAAAUUUACAUGAUCUUCAGGAGUUGGUUUAUCUGAACAUGAUUCAUCUUCGAAAGAAGUAGCAUCUCCUCUUGUAAUAUCCACUUUCUUCGUGAAGGCAUUCUUUUCCUCGGCAUCUACACCACUUGUAGCAGCAGUUGAUACAGCCAUAUCUUCUGCUUUAACAGUUUCAGUUACAUCAUCAGCCAGAUUUACAUGAUCUUCAGGAGUUGGUUUAUCUGAACUACAUGAUUCAUGUUCGAAAGAAGUAGCAUCUCCUCUUGUAAUAUCCACUUUCUUCGUGAAUGCAUUCUUUUCCUCAGCAUCUACACCACUUGUAGUAGCAGUUGAUACAGCCAUGUCUUCUGCUUUAACAGUUUCAGUUACAUCAUCAGCCAAAUUUACAUGAUCUUCAGGAGUUGAUUUAUCUGAACUACAUGAUUCAUGUUCGAAAUAAGUAGCAUCUCCUCUUGUAAUAUCCACUUUCUUCGUGAAGGCAUUCUUUUCCUCAGCAUCUACACCACUUGUAGCAGCAGUUGAUACAGCCAUAUCUUCUGCUUUAACAGUUUCAGUUACAUCAUCAGCCAAAUUUACAUGAUCUUCAGGAGUUGGUUUAUCUGAACUACAUGAUUCAUGUUCG
rnacentral:lncRNA from 1 species